rnacentral:rRNA from 1 species
UACGUAGGGGCAAGCGUUGUCCGGAAUUAUUGGGCGUAAAGCGCGCGCAGGCGGUCAUUUAAGUCUGGUGUUUAAUCCCGGGGCUCAACCCCGGACUGCACUGGAAACGUAGGGUGGACUUGAGUGCAGAAGAGGAGAGUGGGAUUCCACGUGUAGCGGUGAAAUAGCGUAGAGAUGUGGAGGAACACCAGUGGCGAAGGCGACUCUCUGGGCUGUAACUGACGCUGAGGCGCG